UACGGGGGAGCAAGCGUUGUUCGGAUUUACUGGGCGUAAAGGCGCGUAGGCGGCCAGCACAAGUCAGUUGUGAAAUCUCCGGGCUUAACUCGGAAAGGUCAACUGAUACUGUGCGGCUAGAGUGCAGAAGGGGCAACUGGAAUUCUCGGUGUAGCGGUGAAAUGCGUAGAUAUCGAGAGGAACACCUGCGGCGAAGGCGGGUUGCUGGGCUGACACUGACGCUGAUGCGCGAAAGCCAGGGAGCGAACGGG
rnacentral:rRNA from 1 species